rnacentral:rRNA from 1 species
GACAGAGGCCCCGAGCGUUAAUCGGAAUCACUGGGCUUAAAGGGUGCGUAGGCGGACUUGUAAGUGUCGUGUGAAAGCCCACCGCUCAACGGUGGAACCGCACGGCAAACUGCGAGUCUAGAGGAACUCAGAGGCCGGCAGAACGAUUGGUGGAGCGGUGGAAUGUGUAGAUAUCAAUCGGAAUGCCGAAGGUGAAGACCGCCGGCUGGGGGUUUCCUGACGCUGAGGCACGAAAGCGUGGGGAGCAAACAGGAUUAGAUACCCUGGUAGUCCACGCCCUAAACGAUGUGCGCUUGGUUACGGCGGCUCUGACGUCGUCGGGACCGGAGAGAAAUUGUGAAGCGCACCGCCUGGGGAGUACGGUCGCAAGGCUA